UAGUUUACUUGGAUCAACUGUU
rnacentral:miRNA from 1 species